rnacentral:rRNA from 1 species
UCCGUAGGGGGCAAGCGUUGUCCGGAUUUAUUGGGCGUAAAGAGCGUGUAGGCGGCCGUACAGGUCAGCUGUGAAAACUCGAGGCUCAACCUCGAGACGUCGGUUGAAACCGUACGGCUAGAGUCCGGAAGAGGAGAGUGGAAUUCCCGGUGUAGCGGUGAAAUGCGCAGAUAUCGGGAAGAACACCCGUGGCGAAGGCGGCUCUCUGGGACGGUACUGACGCUGAGACGCGAAAGCGUGGGGAGCGAACAGG